UUGUGCUCACAUAAAAAAAUGAAUGGGAUGGUGUCGCUGUCUCGCGCGUUGUAGCUGGCGGUGUGAACGGGGAAAAUUGCAUUUUUCAGCAUAAUAUGAGAUGGACUCUACAUUCUGCACUGGCAUGACUGGAAAUAGCCUCCUGAGAGCGUUCCAUAGAUGGCCAACAGUGGACUGACUCGCUAGAAAGACUUUGGCUCUCUCCAAUGUUAAAAACGUGGAUGUUGUUAUAUCGGUACAGAAGGAUCUCUGGCUGAUGUCAAUUUAUAGGCGAACCCGGAAGUCUAAUUUGCCAUGGGUUCCCUCAGGAUUUUCCUAAAGGUUUUUUUUAUAAUGGGGUUUUUGAACUCAAGGGCGGACUUAGCACUAGGCUCCCCCAGAAGCCAAGGGCCCCCUAAAAAUACAAAUAAUAUGCUUUGUUAUUAUCAUUAUUGCUAAUUAACGUCUGCUGAAAUUUUAAAUAUCACUGUAACAACACCAAUAUGAUUGAUAUUGCAGUUAUUUUCAGCACCAUCACUGCAAGCAGCCCCCUUCCCCCUCAGAUCAGGCUGUAAUGGAAUAUUCAAAAUUUUUUUUUUCCCCCAUCUACACAAGUUUGUAAACAGGUGAAAGCGAGCCAAACCGCUCGGAACGUUUUGUGUAAUUUCACCGUAUACUUUGCAAGUUACAAGUUAAGCUACAUUGUUGCUAGUUCAGUUUGGUUUGAAUUUGUGGAUAGAAAAAAUUAAACGGAAUCGAGACUUCCUAAGGUAACACACACUGUCUUUCCAAACGGAUCAGCCGUAUGUGCUCUCACGAGCACAGGCUGCACAGCACUCACUGGCUGUGUCUCGUUUGGAAGGCUGCAUGCUAGGUAGGACGCGUCCUUUGAAGGCUGCAGUAUACCGAGUGUCCUCGUUUAAACGAGACGGCCUUCGUAGGACAAACGGAAACGGAAGGUAUGGUUGCUAUGACAGCACGCCACUCUUUAACAAGCGCGAGCCCUUUGAGUGAGAAGGGAACAAAGUCCCUCUGGAAGGGAAUGUAUGAGGUACAUUUUAGGAGAGUUAUAAUGAUGUUGAGAGAAAAGAAAAUAGAUUUUACAGGUGUACUUUUAGUCUAAUACUUUAUUUUAAUUAUAUAUUAAUAUCAAUAUACAUAUUAUAUACUCUGCACCCAUCUACUGAUUUACUUCAACUUGGGAAUUAGCAUUACUUGCAUUUGAACAUCAUAUUUGCGGGCAAAUUGGUGUUAUUGUUUUUUAGACAUUUCCGUUGAAGCAAAGAAUUGUGGGUUAUGAGUGCCCACGAAGGAUGCAUCCUCCGAAUUCCCGUGAAAGAAGGUCACAUUUGAAGGCUGCAUUCUAAGUAUCCUACUCGCUUUUCUGAAAAGAGACAGCCUCGAUGACGUAUAAAUGCGACCUCCGGAGGACGCAUCCUUACAAACGAGACACAGACAGAGCUUAUUGACGCUAAAGUAAUCUUUUAAUGGGAAUGACAACGAGGCUGUGAGGUAUAGACAUACAAUCUCUUCAGUGGGCUGUACUGCAGUUUAAAGUGUUUUUGGAUCGAUCCGCAGACAAAACAUUGAAAAAAAAUCUUUCCAAGAACAUUCAGUAUAUAAAGACAUGAAUUGUGGAAAAUCAGAUGUGGUCAAGGAGCUUUUUACAGGUUUAUACUGUGCGUGCCAUUGAAGAGAUGGUAAGUCUAUUCCUCACAGCCUCGUUGUCGUUCCCAUUAAAAAUCAAAAAUGGCGCUAGCGUCAAUAAUGUCUAUAAUCACCAAUACACUGUUGCUGGGUUUCCAUCCAAAAUGUUUUGCAUUUUUUAAGCACAUUUCUAAAAAUUUGACUUAAGAAAAUACUAAUUGUUGUCUAGCAUAAUUUAUACUAAUCAUGAGGGAGCCGCCUCGUCAUGAUGGAGCAGCUGAAUAACCUCUCCCUGCUUUGGGGACAGUUUUAUUUGCAAGAUUGGAGCAAGUAUCUCAUUUUAUUAAAUGCAUCCACCAGACACAGCGGAAUAAGUGUAAAAAUGUCCCUUUUUUGGAAACCAUCAAUAGAAAGUCUGUAAUUUAAUCAAUGUUUUUAUUCUUAGAUUUUUAAUCAUAUGAAUUCAACAUUUCAAUGACCUCAUUGUUUGUACUGAAAAAAAAAUUCACUUAAAAAAUACAAAUAAAGUUACAUUUAUUUGAUUAGUCCACACAACAAGAACAUCAUUUAACAUUAAUUUAUGUAACAUUUCAUUUCCAUAAAAUUUGAACAAAAUGACCGUGAUGGGGUGGUAACUGAUGUGGCGGGGUGGUUCACUGUGACAGGGUGGUAUGGACAAAGUGUUUCUCUAUAUGAUUUGCUGGUUUUAAACUUUAUAAAACUGGGGGAGGGGAAACAUUAAAAUUGGAGAUGUAAUGGAAAACUUUGGUCAUGCUCUGAAAAACUGAAAAGAGCAUCAUAACAGUGACUGGGAGAGUCGCAUCCACACAUCCCUCUGGAUUUCCAUGUGGUGGGAUGUCACAGGCUGUGGUGCUUGAAUGAUUUCGAGCACAUCAUCAAAAAGAUACCACAGGAAGUCAUCUCUUGGAGGCCAGAAGAACCUGUUGGCACCAACACGGUGCAUACAUUUUACAAGGGCAUGUGUUUCAUCUGUAUCCAUGAUGAUCCCAGGAUAAAGGUCAUUGUCGUAUUUAAGCACGCACCACUUUCCAAUGAGAUCUCCACUUUCCCAAGCAAUUGCUUCUGUUGGCACCUUUUGGGCUGUCUUGUUAAAAGUGAAAUGCUGUGUGGUGAAGCACUGACACCUCAGCUGCUUUUGCGUGGAGCACAUGCAACUAACUUCCCGGUAAAGGAUUUCUCCUGGAGUGAAUGUGACCACUUGGUGGGUUUUCAUUGUGGCCUGGCAUCUUUUCCAUUGCCUGCUCCACUGCUUCAGAUGCUACAUAAAACAACUUAACAGUUGUAGAUGUUUCUGUGAGGGCCUUAUAUAGCUCAUGGGCAUCGGGUAUGUUGCGACCGUUGGUCACCAGCUUGUCUGCUGUUCUUUUCAAGGUUCCCCCAACACCGUCAGGGGCCCCCUUGCCAUGGCUUGCCUCAAAAAAGUUCCAUGUUCCACCUUUCAGACCUCGUCUUGCGAGCUCUGUGCUGAAAAGGAAGAAAUUCCCUUUCUGUUUGUAUUGGGUACAUGGUCCAUCACUCAGAAAGUGUAGAACAGAUACAUGUGGGUAUGUGGCUUGUAGAUAAUUCAGCACCAGAUUCAUGUGUUCCCAUAUAGCUGGGGGGCUUUUGUGUUUGGUGGGUGACACUGUGCUAAAACAGAUGGGCUCUUUUUCACCACCUAUGUACAAAACACCAGUGUGCAGAGUAGCUUGUUGGUGCAAGGAGCCAAAGUGGACAGCUUGAAUCUCUGAGCUGUAUUUUCAUGUGUAAUUUUCAGAGAAGUCAAUGUGGAUCACUGCCUCCUCUUUUGACAGGUUCUUUUUCAACUCUCUGCAGUAGGAGUACUGUUGAUUUAUGUUGAAUGUGUGUCUUUUGAAUUUAUGAAGAAGAGUGUGGAAUAACUCCACAAGGUUGUCUUGUGUGUCCUCCAUUGUCACUGUGAUCUUAACAGUGGUAGAACCCUCCCUCGCAUCUUCCCUUGCUUUCUCUGCUGUGGCCUAUUGAGUGAAUGCAACCUUUGCUGAGCCAUCAAAUCUGGAGAGCUGAACAGUCUUGUCUUUGCAUUCCUCGCACUCAUCAUACAUGCACAUUUUCCUGGAGGUGUCACAGGUUAUCAUUUUAGUCAAACUCUCGAGAUCUGAAGUAUCUAUGAGCCUCAAAUUAUGCAGCAAAUCUGAGAUUUUCAUGGAUCUUGCACAGACAUGUGCAUUCCGUUCAGAGAGAGUGGGAUGUACAACCCAAAAUGGGCGAACCUUACAGAAAAGGGAGUAUGAUAUGUUGUUUGUGUUUUCAGUGAGAAAUCUUUUGUGAAGAUUUUUCAUUGUGUCAACCAGAAACCUUUUCUGCUUCUUCACCUUGCUCCUGGUAAUUGUUUGUUUUCGUCCAGUCGUUAUUUGACUGUUGUCAUCUCAGGUGAAGAAGGUUUUGACUUUGGACUUGAAAGCAGCAGUGAACCUGUUUGUGGGAUUUCUGUUGGUGGAACAGAAGUCUUCACUCUGAACACUGCAACACUUCUUUGAAAAUCCGAGGGCAUUUCUGGCAAAUCCUUGUAGCCUGUACUUCUUCACAAUCCUCACCGCUGUUACCUUUGCUAUUAGUUGUUUUUCUUUUUCUUUUCUUGCUUUACAGUACUUAUUCUUUAUGUCUUCAAUCAAGGCUUCAUGAUAGAGUAGUGUUUUUCUGAUUUUGGAGCUUACUCUGCCCGUCUUAGUUAAUUCAUUUUAUUUUUGAACGAGGAGAGUCAUUCUUAUUUAAGCGCUUAUAUCUUUUUCUGUAUUUGUCAGCGCGUUUUCUUUCCUUCUCUAGCGAUUUCUUUCGUUUUUCAAUUUCUUUGCAUAGUGUAUCCCUGUUCUUCCUGGAAAUUCGCUUUCCUUCUUUAUGUUGCCUGAAACAAACAAAAAUCUACUGGUAACUUAGGGGUUUAAGUCAUGUACACCAUAUGUAAAAACAAUUACUCAUCAAUGAUAGGCCUGCUUCUUAUUCUCUACGUGUCUAUUUAUUUAUAAUCCUAACUGCGCACUACCCUGACCUUGAAGAUCCUAACUGCUGCUUUGAGUGUUGGACAGGAUCUGGACUCAGAGGAAAGGUGUCCAGACUGUGCUUCCUAGCCUCUGCUUCCUCCACUUUUUACGCAGCUGAUGCUUCCCUCGCUCACUUAGAUCACUAAUCUUUUUCUUUUUUCCUUGCUCUACAUCCCGUCUCCAUCUCUGACCCUCACUCUCUAGAUAUUUUUGCCUACUCUGAGGAUCAGCAUCCCGACGUGAACGGCGUCGCCGUUGUUUCUCAGCAGCGCUUAAUGGAGCCAUGAUGGAGACAGAUCUAUCUGCAAAUGUUAUAAAAUGUAACAUUCUUCAUUAAACACCGAGAGUUAAGAUAAAAAGUUAAGAAAAAAAAAUUACUGUCUGCUCGUAUGAAUGUAACACAUAAGAAAGUGUUUCAUAGCUGUUCAAAUGCACAUUGGAUCGCAUAAUUUAUAUGUAUACAUUUUUCCAUCUGAAAGGACUAAAUAUUAAAUGAAACAAAUGACAAUAAAAUGCAAAGUAAACUCUUCAGUAAUCAAAAUAAUUUUGAAAGUAACUGUAUUCUAAAUACCAAUGAUUUAAAUUGUAACUGUAGUGGAAUAGUUACUUAUAUUUUUUAUUUUAAAUAUGUAAUCCCGUUACAUGUUUUUCAUUACUCCCCAACCCUGGUAAUGCCCCCAUCAAGAUACACUAUAUUGCCAAAAGUAUUCGCUCACCCAUCCAAAUAAUUAAAUUCAGGUGUUCCAAUCACUUCCAUGGCCACAGGUGUAUAAAAUGAAGCACCUAGGCAUGCAGACUGCUUCUACAAACAUUUGUGAAAGAAUGGGCCACUCUCAGGAGCUCAGUGAAUUCCAACGUGGUACUGUGAUAGGAUGCCACCUGUGCAACAAGUCCAGUCGUGAAAUUUCCUCGCUACUAAAUAUUCCACAGUUAACUGUCAGUGUUAUUAUAACAAAGUGGAAGCGAUUGGGAAUGACAGCAACUCAGCCACGAAGUGGUAGGCCACGUAAAAUGACAGAGCGGGGUCAGCGGAUGCUGAGGUUGCAUAGUGUGCAGAGGUCGCCAACUUUCUGCAGAGUCAAUCGCUACAGACCUCCAAAGUUCAUGUGGCCUUCAGAUUAGCUCAAGAACAGUGCGUAGAGAGCUUCAUGGAAUGGGUUUCCAUGGCUGAGCAGCUUCAACCAAGCCAUACAUCACCAAGUGCAAUGCAAAGCGUCGGAUGCAGUGGUGUAAAGCACGCCGCCACUGGACUCUAGAGCAGUGGAGACGCGUUCUCUGGAGUGACAAAUCACGCUUCUCCAUCUGGCAAUCUGACGGACGAGUCUGGGUUUGGCGGUUGCCAGGAGAACGGUACUUGUCUGACUGCAUUGUGCCAACUGUGAAGUUUGGUGGAGGGGGGAUUAUGGUGUGGGGUUGUUUUUCAGAAGCUGGGCUUGGCCCCUUAGUUCCAGUGAAAGGAACUCUGAAUGCUUCAGCAUACCAAGAGAUUUUGGACAAUUCCAUGCUCCCAACUUUGUGGGAACAGUUUGGGGAUGGCCCCUUCCUGUUCCAACAUGACUGCGCACCAGUGCACAAAGCAAGGUCCAUAAAGACAUGGAUGAGCGAGUUUGGUGUGGAAGAACUUGACUGGCCUGAACAAAGUCCUGACCUCAACCCGACAGAGCACCUUUGGGAUGAAUUAGAGCGAAGACUGCGAGCCAGGCCUUCUCGUCUUACAUCAGUGUCUGACCUCACAAAUGCGCUUCUGGAAGAAUGGUCAAAAAUUCCCAUAAACACACUCCUAAACCUUGUGGAAAGCCUUCCCAGAAGAGUUGAAGCUGUUAUAGCUGCAAAGGGUGGGCCGACGUCAUAUUAAACCCUAUGGAUUAAGAAUGGGAUGUCACUUAAGUUCAUAUGCAUCUAAAGGCAGAUAAGCGAAUACUUUUGGCAAUAUAGUGUAUAAUCUAGAUUUAUAAAAUUGAUUUGCCUCUAAAUUCUGAUGGAAUUUUAAAAUUGUUCAAAAAUGCUUAUAUGUUACUGCUGUUGCAAUAACUCACUCAAGGCCUGGUGUUUCAGUGACUCUACCAUGAUUAAGGGGGUUUUGGGUACUCUGCUAAGGUAUACCUGUGGUAAAAUCGCUUUAAGCACAGUUUCGAGUGGCUUAUUGCUUUCUGUAACUAGUUCUUUUGGAGAAGAGCAGAUGCUAUAUAUUAACAGAAGUAUAUGUUGUCGCUUGCUUAUAACUCAAGCUUUUGUCCAGGAAUAUCUUAAAAACGUCAUCUUAAGCUUAUAAAUGCAGGCACUGUUUAUGCAUAUUUAUAUUACUGUAAAAAUGCAAUUCAAUUGUAUCUUUUAAAUGGCUUUUUUUUUUUUUUGAGUCACGGAUACUAUGAAAGUUGAAUUAUUUGCAUCUACAUAAAAACACACGUUAGACCAACAAUAUUUACCCAAAUGUAGCCUUAACUAGCCCAGAGUUGUCUGAACAAACAAUAUUGUAUUGAACAAUGUUGCUGAUUUGUGGGUUGGCACAAUGCGUUGCAACAAACAAUGCUGUUUGUGUUAGAGGCUUAUUUUUUGCAGUUGACUGGCUUUAUUUAUGCUGACUAAAAGCAAUUUCAAAUACCCAUUUACUUGGCAAAUCCAUUCCAGUAAUUUGACAUGAAUGAACUCAACCUUCCUAAGACUUCAAAAUCUCAUGGAAUUAGGCCACAAAAAGAAUCCUGUACAAACAUCUCCUUCCAAACAACUAGAAAGGACAAGUAAUUGUCAGAAACUUUUAUUGAACUACUCGAUGAUAUCAAAUGGGACAAGAGGCAAAUUCUAUUUCAGUAAAAAAAAGGAGGUUGUAGGAGAAGAAAUGCAGUCGUUUUCUCUAGUCCAUUCUGGCCUUUAGGGUGCGUGUGGUGAUCUUAUCCUUCUCA